rnacentral:lncRNA from 1 species
GUAUAUUUCAUCUAUUAUGUUGAUGAAUGGAAAUGUAAUAAAAUCAUGUGAGAAAUGAAAAUGUAUUAAGUUCAUUUGAGUGAUGAAAUUGUAAAUUGAGAUGAAUGAAUGUAAAGAAAUUGUAUGAGCUUUGUAUUUGAUUGAAAGUGAUUAAGAUACAAUGUAUGAAUGUAAUAGUUAGAUUGCUUUCACUUGUGGUUGAUGUUGCUUACCCUAGAGUAAGCCAUGUAUACUUACAUUCUUAUGUUUGAAUUGCUAUCGUUAUACAUGUAUUGGUGGAGCCUUGGGCAGGCAGGGGAGGUGCUGUCCGUUCGGCGUCUGUUGGCGUGCCCGAACCGACCAAAUUGGCGGUCCCGGGGCGUGACAGGUACUCCCACCUUAGCCAUAUUAUACACAUUUGCCAUUCUCUCCUGAGGUUACUUUACCUUAGCCAACUAUGCCACUCGACUCGGUCUUGAGUCAAGCAUGUGCGGAUAAUCCGCGCUCUGUCCGGCUCGAGGUGAAGGAACUCUCACAUACACCUCAACCUUCAAUUUACAAACCACAUCGCCCAACGGGUCGCCCAGAGCUACGUACACCCGUGGUUAGGGAUCUUCCCGGUGGGAGGGGAAUAUGCCACAUGCAUCCGCGGCCCAAGACCCUCGAUAGGGAGGGGAAUAUGCCACACGCACCCUAGCGCUCCAAGAUCCUUCUGGUGGGAGGGGAAUAUGCCACACACACCCGCGGCCCAGAAUCUUGCUCAAUCAGAAUCCUCGAAGUUCUUCCGGUGGGAGGGGAAUAUGCCACACGCACCCGCGGCCAAGAACUGUCGGGCUCAUACGCUGCACUAGCAGCCGCUGCACUCGCAGCCGCUGCACUCGCAGCCGGGAUUUCGGAAUCCACUUUCAUAACUCUAGGGUUGGUCUCACCCUAUAUUAUCAACCUAUCUAGCUCCAAGCCUUUACUCAACCUAAGUUCAAUUCAUUAGGUUCAAUACCACUAUACUCAUAGCCUAGGUUCAUUAACGCUAGGUUCCAUGUUCUUACUACCUAGGUUCAUUUGACUCUAGGUUCAAUGUCACUGUAUUCAUAACCUAGGUUUACUUGACUCUAGGUUCAAUACCACUCAUGUUCUUUUUUUCCUAGUUGUCCACACUUAGGAAUCAUACUUGACAUGCCACUCAUGAAUCACCUAUAUUCAUUGACACUAGGUUUCAUCGCCACUCAUGAUACUUGUUAUCUUAAUUAUCCACACUUAGGAUUCUUUACAUGUCACCCUUGUCGAGUUCUUUAUUAUUCUUAAGAGCUCAUCGACUCAAGUUUAACAUUCAUGUCAUUCUAGCAUAUUCUCAUAAUAUGUCAUCAUGCAUAUAUUCUUUAGUAUCUCAUACACAUGCCUAUGUUCUUAUUGAAAUGGUAGUCAACAUGUCUCAUGCAUUCUUUGGUAUACAUCUUAUGCAUUCAUCAUAAUCUAUCAUAUGCAUUCAUUAUCACCUAUCUUAGGCAUUCAUUAGCAUAUAACUCAUGCAUUCAUUUACUUUGCAAUUGGCUACCAUUACAUGUAUCAAUGACUAAAUACACUACACUUUGGCAUGGAAGCGACCUAAUCGCUUCGGUGAGCACAACCCACCUCAAAUCACUUUUCGAUUGCUUGUAGUCACUUGCAAUCGGCCUUCCGCGGCACCCGUUGCCCGGUUCGGCCCGAACUCGCACUCGACCAUGAAACGGCCACCAAUCCAUGAUCCGAGAAUUAAAGGUCUAUAACUUGAUGCCACGAUGCUCCGGAUCCGUUCUCGUGAUUUUUGGAUGUCGCCUCGGCCCUCCAGUCGGAAACGAAGACAAAACGUUCGUUUCUUUAAUAUCUUCGCGUAGGCUCGACGAAUCGCCGAAACGUCUUUGCUAACGUGUCGGAAAUACCUUUAAUUAGGUUUACAUAGGAUCAAUUUACAUUUAAACCCUUCUAUGACAAAAGCCCCAAUUUUGGUGCCUUAACAAUGUCAUUUUGCCCAACACUUGGUUUGAUCUCUUUGCUAAGCAAGAACAAGCUUAGAAUCAUCUAGAAACUUAUCUAGAACCAUUACUAGGCCAUUCAAACCAUUACUAGGGCAUUUAGAACAAAUCCUAGAAAUCCACCAUGAGGGCAUAUGAAGAAAACAUGAUUUUCAUGUGUUCUAUGGCCUCAACAAGGUUUCUACUCUUGUAAAAAGAUCAAAUUCAAAAGAUUUUGGGUGUAAAACCAAACCCUAAUAUCAAUCUUACAAGAAACCUCAUCUUAGCCACAAGCUCUCUAAUGUUCACCUUGUAGGAGAGUCCCCAAGCCUUUAAAACCCUAGAUCCUCCAAGAUUUCUCCUCCAAAUCCACCUCCUUUAGCUUUGGGAGAGAGAUUCUAGAGAGAGAGAGGAAGAAAAAUGUGUUGGAGGGGGUAUUUGGCUGUGGGAGAGAGAGAGAGAGGGUGUUUGGGGCGUUUUAUAAGAUGCUACAAUUGCAUUUAGACCCUCAUCUUUUUCAUAUUUGCAGCAGUUUUCAUUUUGCUGUCAGACCCAAUGUGUACCGGUGCACAUCAGGGGUGUUGUAACGCACUGGACCUUUGCAAAUUGCGAGGUUCGAGUGAUUGGUCGUGCUCUGAGCCUUUCCAGAUUUCUGGUAGGUCGUUGACCGUGUUCCGACCUAUGGCACAUGUCCCGAGGAGUGUGGUACGAAGCCUUGCACCAAAACCCAAAAAUUUGGAUUUUGGUCAGCUCUCGGAUUGGCUGUCUGGCGGGCUUGUACCGGUANGUACUAGAGACCACCGUUGUUGUACUUUUGAGAUAGAUAUUGUACUACUUAUGGCUUCUUUUAUUGUCUAGCUUUAUUUCUUUACUUGGUGUAGACGAUAGAUCUGUACUUGCUCUGAUAUCAUUAGUUGCUAGUUAUUUCAUUUCCUAUAUUUGUUCUAUCUCUUGCUUUUACUUCCGCUUUUGUUGUUUACGCCUUAUAUGUGCAGACAUAUGGCGGGUCUGGACACGCUACCGGGAGGGCCUCCGCCGGUCCCGGGGCGUGACAGGUGUCACCGGUUACACGAUCGCGCUACAACCAAACCCGAGAGUUGCUAUUUCGGGUUUUACACUGUGUACCGGUACACUUUUAGUCUGUCACCAGUACACAGCCUUUUUAGGACUUAGCCAAUUUUUUUCAACUUUUCUCCGUUUUCGCUCGUUAGGCCUCUGAUUCAUCUUAAAUCGCACCGAAACCCCCAAAACAUAUUUUCGAGCGUGUCUCAACCAUCUUUUCAUCCCCGCUUAUGCCGGAUUUAACCCAUGGUCCAACAUGGCCUUUCGGGUUCCGUUUUCGCGCCAAACACGCACCGAAACACCCGAAUUCUCCCGAGCCUCAAUCUCGCAUUGUUUCGACUCCAAUUCACGCCGAGCAAUGCUAAAACCUUUCCAACUCCCUUGAACUCAACUUUAACCCUUCCAACAUUGUUGGAAUGUUAAAUAGGCUUUGUCCAACUAUUCCUUUCGCACACUUUAGUCAAUUUGACUAAAGUUCGAUAUUCUCUACCGAGUUUCUGUAUGUUACAUUCUCCACCCCUUAACAAGAGUUUCGUCCUCGAAACUCAACUCACACCUCAAUUCAGCUCCUCAAGCAAUUGAGGGCACUAAUGCACUUUCCCACUCCGGAAUGGUCUCACGUUCAUAGGAACAAUUCAAAGGUUCACAAUGGAGGAUACGAAACCAAAAGCAUACACUUUGCAAGGUGCAUCUCACAAAGUGCAUUAUGGUCUCCGUCCUUCUUGGUGGCAGCGCAAGUCGAAACUCGAUGACUCUACGUGCUCCAACAGCACUCGCCAAUCGGCACACAAAGAUUUUAUCCUUGCAUUUGCUUUCCCUUUGGCGAAUACAUUCCAAUUCCAAUCCUCGAACUCCAAGUGGCUUGUUACUAGCUCAAGGCCUCACCAAGAGCACUUUAUCUUCUAAUGCCAUAUGCCACGGUCAAUCUCAUAUCACUCUCGCAACGAGCACACACGAAUGCUUCGUUCGUGAAUUUGAGCGAAACCUCUCGAUAAGGCUAUCCACCAAAUCGCUUUCCUCAGUUUCCAUAGCUGGACCAAAGGUCACCAAUAGUACGUAGGCCUACCGCCUAAAUCUAUCUCAACGUACGCGCAGCGCCUCUCGCUCGCCAGCGUAGACCCAAUCAUCAUUGGGGCGAAAUUCUUACUUGGGAAUUCGCACACACUCCAACCAGGAGCAAUUCAAGACCUCAAACCAUUAUAGAUCCUCGGGUUGGGUCACAACUGAACUCUUGGUAUACAAUCGAUCGCACGACACGCUCUAUCGAGCACACGUAUCAUUACCGGCUCCUAUGCACCUAGCGCGAGUCACAAGUCCUACGAGUGAUCCAUGACACGCUUCACACCUAGUAAUGCUCAAGUGCUACUGCCAACACUCACGCGGCGGAACUAAAUCCGCACUCCACGAGUAAUUAUACUCGAGCGUCACACGCCUCUAUAGUGCUCCAAUUUCCUUUACUUGCCGCAGGCCAACUCUGCUGUCCAUAGCACUGGGUACCGAUACGCAUCAGGGGUGUCACUGGUACUCCGUUGCACAGAGACCAAACUCGAGAGCAACCUAUUCUCGAGUUGCUGCCUGGUACCGGUACAAUCCAAUGCUUAACCGGUUAACAAUGCUCCAGACUUCGAUUUCGCAUUGUUUCGCUUCGAUCAAUGCUAAAACCCUUUAAUCUCUUUUAGAACUCAACUUUAACCCUUCCAACAUCGUUGGAAUGUCAUAUGGACUUUGCCCAUAGGUCACCACUAGCAACUCACUAGUGCCAUCUAGUCUCCACCUGCUCCAGCAGGUGCUCCGCUUUCACAACGCAAGCAUGCCCGGGUAUUUACACUUAUCCAUCCACUUGGUCCCUACUAUACUAAGGUGUAAGUAGUAGCAAAUGACCAUAUGCUCAAUGCAUGCAAUGCACCAACUUUACAUCAUGCAGAAACACAUGACUACAUCAAUUAAAUCAUACCUGCCAUGACGUCGUCAGUAGCAGCAGGUCCGACAUCCUGGGUCGCGUGUCCAUGGCCACUUGGCGCCCACUGCGAACCCCUUGGUUGCAUCACCACCAUCGCUCGCUCUCCCGACCGUGCCGCAGGUGGCAUACCCGCAGGCUGUCCCGAGGAGGAAAAGGCGGUCGCCAGCGUCAAAGCCUGGCUAUCACCUUGCGGACACUCAUCCCACAUAUAGCCUGGUUGCCCACAACGAACACACUUUCCAUCAUGCAGCGCACAUCGCCGCGCCCUGUGGGAACCACCACAAAUCACGCAGCUUGGAGAGGAUCGAGUAGAUGACGACUUCGGGUGUCGCCUGGAACUUGAUUGUCCACCUGGAUUGCUCGAUAAUGGCCUCACUCCACCCCGCUCGUGUUCAUAAGACUCGUGCUCCUCACGCACGAAAGCCUCACCGUGCUCUGCCCAUAACGCUCGGUCCAACAUCUCCGCGUAGGUCGUGAGUUUGAAGAUUUGCACCUUCUCGUAAAUAUCCGGUUGAAGUCCACGCAGAAACCAAUCGGCCAUUGUCAUCCCGUACCACAUCAGGGACACAAUUCACGAUACGGGAGAAUUCCCGUUCGUACUCCCUCACAGAGCGGUCUCAUUGCCACAGCUUCCUGAACCUGUUCUGAAGCUUUCUCUUUUCACUGUCGGAAAAGUAAGUAGAAAAUACCAAUCCCUGAAACUCAUCCCAUGCCAUAGGAGGGAGACUAGGCGAUCGAUCCCGUCGAAUGCCCUUCCACCACACCCUCGCCGAUUGCUUCAAGCAAUGCACGGCUAGGGGCACCUUGUCCCGCUCCAAUGUGUACAGCUCCUCGAAGAGCGUUUUCAUGGAGUCAAUCGACAUCUCUACGAUCCACGGAUCGACAUUCUCUCCAUCGAAGAUAGGUGGAUCAAACUUCUUGAAGGUCAUGAGGGCCGCCAAAGCCCGCUCAUUCUCCGCCUCCACCAAUGCACUUUUGGGAGUCGGAUCGCCCGACCCCGACGGAAACAUCUCCGCCGCAAUUCCCUGCCGUCCUCGACGAGCCGCAACUGGUGCGGUCACCAGCUGAUCUACCAUUUCCUGGAGUCUCUUAAUUCGCUCCUCCUGGCGCAUAGCAGCCUCUUGCUGUCGCUGCACCACAUCGGCUUGUUGCCUCACCACUCCCACGAGUGUGGCCAAUUGAUUGCGAAGUUCCAAGUCUCCGCUCGCCUCAGAUUGCUCAGGGACAUCACUUAUCCCAUCCCGCGCCGAUCUAGCUGAAGAUCACCUAUGCGGUGCCAUCGUUCCCUGAAACACGACAACUCGAUUAAUCCUCAACCUUCUUAGGUCGAGCACAAAACAAUCAACUUCGACUCAAAUCGGACGAAAGUCAUACAAGAGCGUCUAUUCUCAUCACUCGGUUUCAUGUUGUACAUGCCCAACAUGAACACCCUCGGUUGAGAAUACACCACACCUUGAGUCUAACUGUAAUAUCCGUCUUAGAGGUUUACAACACAACCCAAUCCAUAACCUUUCGCCAUAAGUCUCAAGUCCUCGUCUCUCACGAGCCUUAAUCUCCUAUGGUUUACUAUCCUAGGGUCUCCUAGGUCCAACUAAACCGUUUUUUUUAUAUUCUUUUAUGUUCGUUCUAUUCUCCCUUUAUGCUCUGAUACCAUCUUAUCUGUCAUGCCCCGAGCCCGCCUCUUUGGCUGGUUCGGGCACGCCGACAGACCGCCGAACGGACAGGAUUUUUCCUGUACUGCGGACAAAGUCCCCCAUGUAUGUCCAAGGCGUCACAAUCCAAACAAUGCGCGAGGUUCCAAUCAGGAACAGCAUACAACACAGGUUGCAUAAGAAAAGUAUCGAAAACAUAAAUACUAUUAUGCUAUUACAAGCAUUCAACUCAAAUACAUUUUACAUUACACAUUACAUUUUCAACUUCUCUUAGUAACUUCCAAAUACAAUCCAAUUUAACAUAAUUAUUACAAUAAUGAUUCUUUUCUUUUCUUUGACAUCCCUAAGCAGUCGACUCAGGGUACCGCUAUCUUUGGUCUCGGUGGUAGGGCGCUAACUACGGAGCUACGCCAUUUUCUCGCGCUGCCGCGCCGCUCACGUGUGAACCUGUACCCCUAAUGUGUACCGGUACACAUCAGGGGUGUCACCGGUUACACGAUCGCGUAACAGCCAAACCCGAGAGCUGCUGUUUCGGGUUUUACACUGUGUACCGGUAUACUUUUAGUCUGUCACCGGUACACAGCCUUUUUAGGACUUAGCCAAUUUUUUCAGCUUUUCUCUGUUUUCGCUCGUUAGGCCGCCAAUUCAUCUCAAAUCUCACCGAGACCCCCAAAACAUGUUUUCGAGCGUGUCUCAACCAUCUUUUCAUCCCCGCUUAUGCCGGAUUUAACCCAUGGUCCAACAUGGCCUUUCGGGUUAUGUUUUCGUGCCCAACGCGCACCGAAACACCCGAAUGCUCCCGAACCUCAAUCUCGCAUUGUUUCAACUCCAAUUCGCGCCGAGCAAUGCUAAAAUCUUUCCAACUACCUUGGAACUCAACUUUUGUCCUUCCAACAUUGUUGGAAUGUUAAAUAGGCUUUGUCCAACUAUUCCUUUCGCACACUUUAGUCAAUUUGACUAAAGUUCGAUAUUUUCUACCGAGUUUUGGUAUGUUACAAGCCCGCCCGUUCCACCCGCGCCGUCGCCGGCGCCCGCCCUCCCCCUCGGCUCACACCCUCGCGCUCGCUUGCGCUCGCGCCCUUGCAGUGCCCACGCCCGCCCGCGCCUGCGCACGCUCGAUUGCCCCACUGCUCCUCCGCCCUUGGCGCGCCGUCGCAAAGCGCCGCGAGCCGUGCCUUGCCCCCUGCGCCCGCCCCGCCCAGCGCCGGCUGCCUGCGCGCCGCCCUUGAGCAAGCCCGCCCACCCCUCGGCCAGCCCGGCCCGCGCCCUGCGCCAAGCCCCGCCCUGCGCCCUCGCCCGUGCCUGCGCCUCCCGCUACCACGUGUGCAGUUAUUGAGAAAUAAUAUAUCUUUAUAGAUGGGCCAACUUUUUUGAUUUUGUAGAUUCGAGCGGAUUUUCAGCCACCUAACCAAAAUGCCCCUCGUCUACAUUCGUCGUCCGCGUAUUCCCUGAGAUUCAUAUACCCUAACGUACGGUCCUGGCGGGUAUUAAAUGCGCCCCAUGCGCUUUACGCAACCUCGCUCUCAUCGGAACCCGGACCAAAUCUGCUCCGCUAUGCGCCAGCACUAGUGUUUGCUCUUCAUCUUAAAAAAAUUAAAUUUGCUGAAGCUAAAUGACAAAAACUACGCGGCCCACAACAGAAAUAAUAGUGCAACACCAUGUAGCAACAUGACGAGAAAUAGUGCAACAACCCUUCUAAUAGUGCAUCCUUCGGCUGUCACGAGUGCAAUCUCAGUCGCUCAGAUGUGUGACGUUAGCGUUCAAUUUUCUCCCUCAAAGGGCAUCAUUCUUGUAACACACUGGACCUUUGCAAAUUGUGAGGUUCGAGUGUUUGGAUGUAUUUCGAGCUUUUCCACACUUGGUGGAGGGUUGUAGAACGUUUUCCGACCUAAAAAGUUCGAAAAUCGGAAUUCUGGAUAAGUCCUGAGAGUUUUUACUCUCGGGGACUGGUCCGUGGAAGGAGAGACCGGUCCCCCAGUGAGCAGUGUUGAGGCAGCCUGAGGCAACCGGUCCCUGGCAGGCGAGACCGGUCCCCGAGCGCGUCUUCGCAGUGAGAGACCGGUCCUGCACGGGGAGAGACCGGUUCCCGAACGUUGGUUUUUCGGGUUCGCAGCGAGAGACCGGUCCCUGCUGGGGAGAGACCGGUCCCUCUGGGCGAAAACUGCCCAGUUCGGGCUGAUGUAAUAUUGGGUUUUUGAGGGGCCUGGUUGGAUUUUGUUACUCUAGAUGGGCUUAUUAGCCAUUUCACUCCCUUCCCUCCUCAUUUCUCACCACCCUACACCUUCUAGAGAGAGAAGAAGAAGAAGGAGAAGAAGAAGAAGGAGGAGAAGAAGAAGAGGAGCUAGUUUGAGGGAGCUUGGAGCUCAACCCCUUUCUCUCUUUCCCACCUUGGCAAGGCUUGGAGCUUGCUUGUAGAGCUUAGUGGUGGACCAACUUCAACCCUAGAAGAUUUUGAGCUUGGAUUGGAGCAUCCUAGAGGUAUGUGGCAAGGUUCCUCCCUCUAGAUCUUAGUUUUGGAGCUUUUUGCUUGUUUUAACCCUAGAAUGAGAUUUAGGGUUUAAUUUUGGGCAUUUUUGAUCUAGGGCUUUUGGGGCUAAAUUGAUUGGUUUAGAACCUUCCUAGGGCUUGGAUUGGAAGGGUUCUAGCUCUCUUUUGGAGCUUUGGGAGAGAUUUCUACUCUUGAGGUAAAUUUUGGCCCUUUUUGCUCCUAGGUUAAUGUUUGAUCUUACGGUUGGUCGUGAUGCUCCCGUAUCUCUUCACUGACCACUUUUAGGGUAUCUUGAGGCUCGUGGACAACUUCGUUCGGCGAAUCGAGACCCUACGCGACGGUUCGGUGGGUUUGACCUAGCCACACAAUGAGAAAUUCUCAUGUGUGUUUAAUUAAGUGUUGUUAAAUGAAAAAGCAUGCAUAUUCUUGUUAUACGAAUUUAUUGUGAAUUUUAGAAUGCUUAAAAGGCCUACGUUAUAUAUAAUGAAAUUUUGGACCUCUAUGUAGUAGAGAGUAGCUUAUUAGGCCAUGGUUGCAUUUAGCAUUCUAUAUGAGACGCGGUAUCCUACUUCUAUAGUAUAAAUGAGUUCGGAUUCAUGCAUGUAAACCUACAAUUACUUGUGACAUGAAAAUUGACAAGAUUGUCAUUUAGAAGCUAUGUGAAUUAGAGAGCUAAUGUCAUCAAGCGGCAUUGAGCUCGGGACGCGUGUGAACCUAAUGGAUAGGGCCAUCAAGGGAUUUGAAAUACAUAUUGAACAUCAGAUUGCCUAAGUGUCAUCAAAGGGCACUAGGCGUAGCAAAGGUUGAACCUUCACAUUGUGACAUAAACUAGAUCUUUGGGAUACUAGUGACUAUACCAUGUUAGAGACAUGAGGAUUGGAUACUUUAGACUUGGACUUUGCUUGCUUGCCAUUUGUGCUCAUUCGCACAUGCUUGUGAGGGUCGCUCCCUACAAGCCGGCACUCCGGAGUUAGCCUAUGCGACCUAUGUUCGCUCGUGCGGUAUUGAGAAGCCUACGGGGUCGAGUGGGACAGACACAUUCCAAGAGUAGGAAUGUCGGGCUACCACAGGCACUUAGGCGGCACAAGCUGGACUACCUUUGGUAGGUCCUUGAUUGGAAAUGGAAAUCGAUACGGGGUCGAGAUUGGUUAAUCACUACUAGAUAGGUUUAGUAGUUGGAUUACAUUUAUAUGUUUUUUUAGCAUAGUGUUGAGACAUGUAGUAUAUUUGAUAGUCUCUUGUUGCAUUAGAGCAUACUUGGUUGCCAUGAUAGAGCUUAUGCAUCAUGCAUUGAUAAGGGUUAUUGACAUUAGACUAGUGCCAUUGGACGUAAUUGUAAGGAUAGAAUAGAUGUACAUUUUGGUUUACAUCACGCUUUCUUUCAGCAGUUUAUUUACAUGCUCCUUAUUGCUUAUUAUUAUUAUCGUUGCUUACCUUUGUUUUUGGGGCCUAGUGGAGCAGGAGCUGAGGUCAGUAAUUGCCCACUGGGAACUAUAGCUUAUAGUUCUCACGCCCUCUUUUUCUCGAUGUUUUCAGAGCCUUCCACUCAGGGCGAGGCUAGGGACCGCGGGAAGGGAGUUGCUUCGAGCUAGCUUCCUUUGAGGACGAUUCGCUAGGUGGUCUACCUCUCGUUGUGUUUUAUUUUGGAGAGGUUGAGAGUUCUACCAGUGUAUUAGAGACCACCGUUUUUGUACUUUUGAGACAGAUAUUGUACUACUUGUGAUUUCUUUAUUGUCUAGCUUUACUUGCUCUGAUAUCAUUAGUUGCUAGUUAUUUCACCUCGUCAUUUGUUCUAUUCUUGCUUUUACUUCCGCUUUUAUUGUAGACGCCUUAUAUGUGUAGACAUAUGGCGGGUCUGGGCACGCUACCGGGAGGGCCUCCGCCGGUCCCGGGGCGUGACAGAUUAAUUUGGUAUCAGAGCCUAGGGUUGAGUCUUAGUGGACCUAGCGAACCUUAGGCCGGUUGAACUAUAGGAAUUAGGCUCGUGAGAUACGGGGUCUAAUUGACUUGUGAGCGAAAGUAUCGUGAUUGGGUGUCUUGAUAACUCUAAAAAGGUUAGAGUUGGAUCGGAGUGUAUGGCUCCUAACUUCGCGGAGGGUUACGUUGGCGGCCGACAACGUAACAUCGGGAGUUAGUAGUGAAGGACACUUCCUUACUUUCGCAUGAUUUGGGUUUUAUCUAUUUGAGCGGGGAUUCGAUAGUGCGGGUUACUAACUUGCACUUUUAUGUUUUGUAGCGACGAUGCCGAUUACUCGCUCCCAGUCUGCCGGGGCGGAUGAUGCGGCACAUCCCGAGGAGGUUGAGACCUCCGCUACUUCCGGAUCUAGCGAGGUCCGUGACCUGAAGGCCCAGCUUGCGGCCCUUACUGAUCUGUUGGCGCAGCAGACGGUAGCGGCGCAGCGACAGGCCGAGGUGGCUCAGCGGCAGGAGGCACGGAUGAAGCAUUUGGAGGGCCUCCUACUUCAGCAGGCGGCAGCCUCGAGGGAGACCAAGGGUCCUACACCGCCAGCACCCGUGGUGGACGUCGCACCGAGGGCGCAGUCCCCCGCGCCCAGUUCUUCCCGUGCGGCACCGGCGCCCGCACCUCGGGAGGAGGUGGCUGCGGUACCCCCAGUACAGAGACCGGCGACGGGGGUGGCAUUCCCCGUGAUGGUCGAGGGAGCUGAGCGGGAUCGGCUCAUGGAGCGCCUCAGUGAGUUCAGGAGGUGCAGCCCGAGGAUGUUUGAUGGCGAGAACGUCAACCACUGGAUUGUUGAGAAGUGGUUGAUACACAUGGAAAAGCUGUUUCGAGACACUUUUGUGGAGGAGCGGACAGAGUUUGGCUUGCCACUCACUUUUUGGACGGCGAGGCCUACCGUUGGUGGUUGGAUAUCCAGGACAACCCCAACAUCGACUUUUCAGCGAUUACUUGGACACGAUUCAAGGAGCUUCUACUGGCGCACCACUUUCCUACCAGCGUCAAGAGGAAGAUGGAGCAGGAUUUGCGCAGCUUGCGCCAAGAUGAGCGGUCAGUGGCUCAGUACGAGAGGGAGUUCUCCCGGAUACUACANUGAGCUGAGGUCAGUAAUUGCCCACUGGGAACUAUAAAUUAUAGUUCUCACGCCCUCUUUUUCUCGUUGUGUUUCAGAGCCUUCCACACAGGGUGAGGCCAAGGAUCGCGGAAAGAGUAUUACCUCGGGCUAGCGUGCUUACCGAGGGAUCGUUUGAUCGGUGGUCUACCUCUCUUUGUUUCUUUUGUGAGAGGUUGAGAGUUUUACCAGUGUAGUAGAGACCACCAUUUUUGUACUAGAAGCUGAUAUUGUACUACUUAUGUUUCACUUUUAUGGUUUAGCUAUGCUCUUUUCCUAUUGUUAUAGAAGAUAGAAUCAUACUGCUCUGAUAUCCCUAGUUGUUGCUCAUUCGUUUCUAUUACUUCUCGCUUUUACUUCCGCUUUUACUCUAGACGCCUUAUAUGUGUAGACAUAUGGCGGGUCUGGACACGCUACCGGGAGGGCCUCUGCCGGUCCCGGGGCGUGACAAUCCUUGUAAGGACUGAGACUUUUACAGUGUAGCUAAACUCUCAGUUGACGAUGUUUUUGUGUGUAAUUUAAUUACAAAAGCACUCAUCAAGUUUCGGGAGAAAACGAGUUAAAACGGAGAUUCUACGCGAUUUCCAAGUUUUACUUAAAGUGAAUAGUAACUCGAUUUUUCGGAAAACCCACGGUGUGAAGUUGGCUUCAGGCUCAUAUCGGACUCCGUUCAUAGCAGUCCAAUAGCUCGUUUCGACCGGUUCAGCUAUUCUGGAACUAAUGGCGCUGACGGAUUUUGAGUUUGAUCCACGGAUUUCGAGAAAAUCCAAAAAUACGUGUUUUAUAUGUAUUUGUGCACAGUUCUUCUGUUGGAGAGAUGGAUCGGAUUUUGUCACGAAUCCGCGAAGGAUCGAGGUGAAACGAAAUCGUAGCUUUGUUGUCUCUGUUGUGCUGAUCUCACUGGUGCGAUCCGUUCGCAAAUCUGACGUACGGAUCUGCGGAGAUUGCGCGUUGAUUGAGGAGAGGUCGGUGAUGGCAAAACGGUAUUUUCGUAAAAAGUGUGACAUUUUAUGUGCCGUUUUGUGUGAAACCGAAGGUGGAGGUGUAUUCGUGCGUUUUACACGCACUGUGAAGGACCCAGUAUUAAAUACUGAGGUUUUGUGCUCUAACUCGCAAUUGUACACUUCUCUAUAUAAAGUUCACCUAGGGUUUGCCCAUUGGAAACCCUAACCCUAGCCUUGCCGCACCCCCCAGCCACCUUCAUCUCUCUCCCCUGCCUUGCCGCGCGUGCGACGGCCGCAACCGACCGAGCCCCGGCUCGCCAGCAGUAGCUUCUACCGCAGCCGCAACCUUUGCCACCUUCCCUCUCGAUCCAUCUCUCUCCUUCCACCUCUCUUCAUCUCGGGUUGGGGACGAGGCCGAGGUUGCUCUCCUCUACGGCAUCACCCCCGUAGCCCCGGCGACCACCCCAGUCGCCUGCCGCCGUCGCUAAGCGCGGCCGCCGCGCUGCAGCCACUUGUUGCCUGCUAGGGCAUCUCGGGCCGAGCUGAGCUCCAUCUGCUAGCCGCGCGCCGCCGCCACCUGAGGCCGCUCCCGCCGCCUUCCCCGGAGCCUCGGCGACCACCCUGGCCGGUCUCUGCCGCCCCUGCGGGCCGCCGCCGCCGCCUCGGCCAGCCGCGGCCGCCCCAGACCCUCUCAGGCCGAGGUGGACUCGCGACUUCUCCCCCGCGCUGCCGCAGCUCGGGGCCGCACCCGAGGCAUCCCUUCGGCCUCCAGCUACUCCCCGUCGUUGUCCCUGAGCUUCUCGGCCGCCGCUGUGGCCGCCUCUGCUCUGGAACCCGAGCCCUAGCUCGUGCGGGCUCAGGCUGCUCCGCCGCUGCCACCGCCGCACCUCGCCGCCGGCUAAGGUGAUCCUUGUGCUCCUUCCAUCCCCCGCACCCACCUCUGGCCCGCGCACACCUCGCCAUGCCGUCGGAAGCCGGCCGGAGCAAGCUUGCUCCAGCCAAGCCCGAAUUAGGGCUUUUCUGGGAUGGCUUACUGUUUCGAGCGACCAGAGGCUUCCCGAUCUCUGAGGAAGGGAGCAUGAUGAUCUUUAAUCCUUGCUGAUCAUCGUGCUCACCUUAGAUUUUGUCGGAAAGACUUCGUUAUGCUGUUUCGGUAGUGUCGCCCCUUCAGGGCCUUCUUGGCUGCUGUUUUGGCCUUGCGCGCACUUUUUCGGCGAUCCAAGGCUGUCCCGAUGCCUCCGGAAGUGAGCACGAUGAUCGCUGGUCUGUUCUGAUCACAGUGCUCACCUUACUUUGGAUCAGCGGAUGUCGUGUCGGCAUGUUCGGCACGAUUUUUCCCGACUGCGCGCUAUUCGCAGAACCUUCGGGUCGCUCCCGCCCCUCCCACAGUGAGCCGUUGUGCUCUGGAUCAUGAGCACGGCCUCCGGUACAUCAGACCUGUCAGUGCGUGUCUCAGCAGACCUUGAAAGUCCUCGGUUUGCGUGAACGAGCCACUUGAUCGCCAAAAUUACAUAAAAUGUUAGGAUUUUAAGUAAUUAGAGGGGCUUUUGUGCAAUUGUGCACCUUAUGGCUACUGUGGGCAGUGCAUGUGUGUGUGUGGUGACCUCUGGACUGAUUGUCCAUGAUCCGAUAGUCUUCGCCGAAAUGGAGGAGUUGAUUUCGGUGCGUUUUUCGGCGAAAUUCGCCGAAAGAACGCGAUUUCAGUUCGGAUUUCUUCUGACGUUGUUUGUUUAUCCUGUGAAUUGUCACUGAGCCUUGUUGGCUGGUCACCAUCAUCAUUUUGUGGGUUCAGUGAUGAUGGGUGAGCGACGGUGGGUUCCGGUGUCGAAAUAGACGCUUCCGGGAACCCGUAUUCGUACAAUUACUCGGCGAUAAUUGGGUAGUGGUGUUAUCUUGUGUUUGCUGCCAAGACAUCCAAACAUGAGUGUUUUGUGGCAGCGGGUAACUCGCGACACGAGUCGGUGAGUUUCGGGACACUUAGUAGGUCCCGACGGCGUCCUGGUGUGGUUUUCGGGACUUCUGGUGAGUUACGGUGAUCGGUUUUGGGAAAUCGAUUCAGGGAUCUGUGUGGGGGUUUGUGAGAUAGUAUACUUCAGGUUAGUGGGUUGGAUAGUGACCUAGUGGAUCUUCGUAGGUUCGGUGAAGUUGUGUGCAUCCAAGUUUUUCGACGCGAUUGUGACAGGUGGGUGCUUCGAGCUGGUAGUCGGUGAGAUCGUUUCACCCUUCCUCUGUUCUUUCAUAUCAGUAUCGUAGUCUCUACAUGUCAGCUGAUUGUUUAUCGUUUGUUUAUUGCAUCUCAUUGAUUGCAUUUGGAUUGUUGUGGAUAGACAUGUAGAGCAGGUUACAUAUAUAUUGUAUCUUUGUGGACCUUGGGUCUAGGCAACACAUCGACUCCUUUGUCGUGUGUUUCGAUCUGGUUGAUCGUGGUUCGGCGUUGUACGCCCUUGCACCUAGCUUCGGCCAAGGCACCGAUCUUUUUUUGCCAGUUUUCGUUUUGAGCAUAUCAGCAUGAUUUAGUCACAGCACUGUGUAUUCUAGACACCAGGUUGGUUUGGCCGCCAACCAAGAGGUGUACGUAUCCGGAUAGGUCGUCGGUGAUGCAUGAAUAAGUUGGCAGUGUCUGCUCUGUGACAGGCAAUACUCGAGGUUUGCGGACCAAUAUAGCAGCAUCAGAUUGGGUUUGGUUUGGACUAUUUACCCUUGAGGCAUACUGUAACACACUGGACCUUUGCAAAUUGCGAGGUUCGAGUGAUUGGAUGUGUUUCGAGCUUUUCCACACUUGGUGAAGGGUUGUAGAAUGCUUUUNGGACCUUUGCAAAUUGCGAGGUUCGAGUGAUUGGAUGUGUUUCGAGCUUUUCCACACUUGGUGAAGGGUUGUAGAAUGCUUUUCCGACCUAAAAAGUUUGAAAACCUGAAUUCUGGAUGAGUCCUGAGAGUUUUUACUCUCGGGGACCGGUCCCUGAUAUGAGAGACCGGUCCCCCCAGUGAACAGUGUGCGUAGGCGGCAAGGCAACCGGUCCCGCGCAGGGAGAGACAGGUUCCCGAACGUUGGUUUUUCGGGUUCGCAGCGAGAGACCGGUCCCUGCUGGGGAGAGACUGGUCCCUCUGGGCGAAAACUGCCCAGACCGGGCUGAUGUAAUACUAUUUUCUUGAGGGGCCUCUUGGGAUUUUGUUGCAUUAGAGGGUCUAUAUGACCCAUCCACUCUCUCCUCUCCCCAUUUCUCUUCUCUCAACCCUCUCUACACCCUUGAUAGAGAAGAAGAAGAAGAAGGAGAAGGAGAGGAAGGAGGAGAAGAAGAGGAGGAUCUAGCUUGGGCUUGGAGCAUUCUUUUGCCUUUCUUCCUCUUCCCACCUUGUUGGUGCUUGAAGGCUUGGACUUGGAGCUUGCAUAGGAGGAGAUCUUCACCCUUAGAGCUAGGAUUGGAGCUUCUAAGGAGGUUUGUUGCUCAUUUCCCUCCUCUAGAUCUUGUUUUGAAAGUUUUUGUAAAUGGAACCCUAGAAUAGAGAUUUAGGGCUUAUUUUGGGGCUUUUUGAUUUAGGGCUUUUGAGGCUAGAUUAAUUGGUUUAGAACCUUCCUUGGGCUUGGAUUGGAAGGGUUCUAGCUCUCUUGUGGAGCUUUGGAAGAGAUUUCUUCUCUUGAGGUGAGUUUUGGCCCUUUUUGCUUCUAGGUUAAUGUUUGAUCUUAUGGUUGGUCGUAAUGCCCUCGUAUCUCUUCGCUGAUCACUUUUAGGGUACUUUGAGACUCGUGGACAACUCCGUUCGGCGAAUCGAAGGAGCAUGUGACGGUUCGGUGGGUUUGGCCUAGCCACACAAUGAGAAAAUCUCAUUGGUGUUGAUUUGAGUACUGUUAAAUGUUUAUUCAUGCAUUUCCAUGCUAGAUACAUUUAUUAUGAUUUUUAGAAGGCUUAUUUGCCUACGUUACAUGUGGUGAAAAUUUCGGACCUCUAUGUAGUAGAGAGCUAGCAUGUGGAACUUGAACAGGUUUAGCAUCACAUUGAGACUUGGAAUCAUAGUUCCUAUGGUGAAAACGAGCAUCUCAUGCAUGCAUUUAAAGUUAUUUCUAUUUAAGAUUUAAAAGUUCCUAGUGAGCCAUAAAGGGGCUCGGGGAUUUGCACUACUUGUGUACAAUUGGGCUAAUGUCAUAAAGGGGCAUUGAGCUCGGGUUAUGUGUGAAUUUAGUGGAUAGUGCCAUUGAGAGAGUUGGAGUGUGCUUGUUCAUCGAAAUGUCUAAGUGUCAUAAAGGGGCACUAGACUUAGUGAAUAUUAGAAUUUCACAUUGUGACCUAGAACUAGAUCUUCGAGAUGCUAGUGAAUAUUGCCAUGUUAGAGACAUGAUGAUUGGGUAUUUGAGACGUUGACUUUGCUUGCUUGCCAUUUGUGCUCAUUCGCACAUGCUUAUGAGGGUCGCUCCCUUCAAGCCGGCACUCCGGAGUUAGCCUAUGCGACUUAUGUAAGCCCGUGCGGUAUUGAGAAGCCUACGGGGUCGAGUGGGACAGACACAUUCCAAGAGUAGGGAUGUCGGGCUACCACAGGCACUUAGGCGGCACAAGCUGGACUACCUUUGGUAGGUCCUUAAUUGGAAAUGAAAAUCGACACGGUGUUGAGUUUAUUAUGAUCACUACUAGACAGAGAGUGGUAGUAGGAUUACAUGGACUUACUUCUAGCAUAGUUGUGGACAUUUGGGUAUUCAUACAUACAUGUAGUAUGCUAGGAGAUGUUGUUUAUUGCAUCCUUAUAUGCAUUGUAGUCAUGACAAAGUACCACUUUCAUAUCUGUAUAAAGUAAAUCAUGAUAUUACUUGUGAACAUGUAGAUAUAUAUUAUCCAUGACAAGAUAAAGUCGCAUUAUAAAUGCCAUGUUUAAUUGCAAGCCGUAGCUUAGCAUCUUAAUUAUGCUUUCUUAUAUGCAAUUUACUCGUUACUAUUAUUGUUAGACUUACCCUUUCUUUUGGGGUCUAGUGGUGCAUUGAGCUGAGGUCAGUAAUUGCCCAUUGGGAACUAUAAAUUAUAGUUCUCACGCCCUCUGUUUUAUGUUUUCUUUCAGAGCCUUCCACGCCGGGAGAGGCUAGGGAUCGAGGAAAGGGCGUGGCUUCGAGCUAGCUCUUCAGCGAGUGACGAGUCGCUAGGUGGUCUACCUCUCGAUGUUUUUAUUUUGUGAGAGGUUGAGAGUUGUACCCGUAUAUGUAUAGAGACCACCUUUCUUUUGGAUCUUGGUAUUUCUUUUGAGGUGUUAGUAUUGUAUCACCUUAUGCUUUACUUUGUUUAGUUAUAUUUCUUUUACUCUGAUUUAGAUGAUAGAACCUUACUCGCUCUGAUAUCGUUAGUUGUUAUUAUUCUAUUCGUUCUAUUUCUUGCCUUUACUUCCGCUUUGUUGUAGACGCCUUAUAUGUGUAGACAUAUGGCGGGUCUGGGCACGCCGCCGGGAGGGCCUCCGCCGGUCCCGGGACGUGACACAUACAAUCAGUUGAGUUUUUGGUUACAGUAGUAGUUUCGUUCUUACUCAGUUAUUAUUCUGUUUCUAUUACUACUGUAGUUGCUCUUAUAUCAUAUAUAUAUCUUGUUUAUCUAUCUCCAUUGGUUUCUGGUGAUUACAGUUUGCCUUCGUGGCUCUGUCGUGCCCAUUGGAAAACCAUGGUUGCGAUUUCUCACCCUCCAUUUCCCCCAGGUGACAUGGACGAGGUGUUGGAUUUUGGGCUCGACAGGAGGACGAUCUAGCUAGUCUGGUAUAGCAACUGUGACCCUGGUUACUUUCAUUUUGGCACUUAGUAGUUUUAAUAAUAAAUGGUUCAGUUAGAUGAUCAUAUUGAUGUUUGAAUAUUCGUGAAUUGGUUUUAGUGGAUGAUUUACUAUGAUGCAUGAGAUUGGAGUUUUCAGAUCUGUGGUUUUUGGUUCUCGUAAUUAUGGAUUUACGCAUCGUGGUUUUCUACCCCUCGAGGUAGCUGGUUUUUAAAAUAGAGUUUCCGUGUGGGAAACAAUUUAAAAAAGGUUUUCGAAUGAUUUUCAUGGAUGAUUUGAAUUAGAGUUUAAAAACAAAGCUUUCGGAUGGGGAGCACUUUUAAAUAGGAUGAUUGUUGUACUGUGCAUUACAUCAUCCAGCGCCUAAGGAGUGCUUAGAGGCAUGCAUCAUCUCUAAGGAUCGUUAGCUGUAUGAAAAUGCAUAUCAUGAAAUGGUUGUUGAUUGGUAAUUGUAGAUUGUAGUUGAGAUCCUGAUGUGCCUAUUGGUACGCCGUGCAAAUACAAAGGAGACUCUGUCCGAGUGGACAGAUGAACUUUUUAUUUGUGGCGGGUCUGUAUGUCACGUGGGCCGGGUUGAAAAAAAAGGGCACGUUUUCCGCAAUUCUGAUUUCAAAAUGGUAUGGAUUCUAA